rnacentral:rRNA from 1 species
UAAACCGCUUUCAGCAGGGAAGAGUCAAGACUGUACCUGCAGAAGAAGCCCCGGCUAACUACGUGCCAGCAGCCGCGGUAAUACGUAGGGGGCGAGCGUUAUCCGGAUUCAUUGGGCGUAAAGCGCGCGUAGGCGGCCCGGCAGGCCGGGGGUCGAAGCGGGGGGUUCAACCCCCCGGAAGCCCCCGGAACCUCCGCGGCUUGGGUCCGGUAGGGGAGGGUGGAACACCCGGUGUAGCGGUGGAAUGCGCAGAUAUCGGGUGGAACACCGGUGGCGAAGGCGGCCCUCUGGGCCGAGACCGACGCUGAGGCGCGAAAGCUGGGGGAGCGAACAGGAUUAGAUACCCUGGUAGUCCCAGCCGUAAACGAUGGACGCUAGGUGUGGGGGGACGAUCCCCCCGUGCCGCAGCCAACGCAUUAAGCGUCCCGCCUGGGGAGUACGGCCGCAAGGCUAAAACUCAAAGGAAUUGACGGGGGCCCGCACAAGCAGCGGAGCAUGUGGCUUAAUUCGAAGCAACGCGAAGAACCUUACCAGGGCUUGACAUAUGGGUGAAGCGGGGGAGACCCCGUGGCCGAGAGGAGCCCAUACAGGUGGUGCAUGGCUGUCGUCAGCUCGUGUCGUGAGAUGUUGGGUUAAGUCCCGCAACGAGCGCAACCCCCGCCGCGUGUUGCCAUCGGGUGAUGCCGGGAACCCACGCGGGACCGCCGCUGUCAAGGCGGAGGAGGGCGGGGACGACGUCAAGUCAUCAUGCCCCUUAUGCCCUGGGCUGCACACGUGCUACAAUGGCCGGUACAGAGGGAUGCCACCCCGCGAGGGGGAGCGGAUCCCGGAAAGCCGGCCCCAGUUCGGAUUGGGGGCUGCAACCCGCCCCCAUGAAGUCGGAGUUGCUAGUAAUCGCGGAUCAGCAUGCCGCGGUGAAUGCGUUCCCGGGCCUUGUACACACCGCCCGUCACA